rnacentral:rRNA from 1 species
ACGAAUGGUGCCGGGUAACUCCGGUAAUUGACGGUACCUCCAAAGGAAGCACCGGCUAACUCUGUGCCAGCAGCCGUGGUAAUACAGAGGGUGCAAGCGUUGUUCGGAAUUACUGGGCGUAAAGCGCGUGUAGGCGGCGUUAUAAGUCGGAUGUGAAAGCCCUCGGCUCAACCGAGGAAGUGCAUCUGAUACUGUAGUGCUUGAGUGUCGGAGGGGGUGGCGGAAUUCCCGGUGUAGAGGUGAAAUUCGUAGAUAUCGGGAGGAACACCUGUGGCGAAGGCGGCCACCUGGACGACAACUGACGCUGAGACGCGAAAGCGUGGGUAGCAAACAGGAUUAGAUACCCUGGUAGUCCACGCUGUAAACGAUGAGUGCUAGACGCUGUGGGUAUUGACCCCUGCGGUGUCGAAGUUAACACGUUAAGCACUCCGCCUGGGGAGUACGGUCGCAAGAUUA